GCUUACGGCCAUAUCACAUUGAAUGCAUCGGUUCUCGUUCGAUCACCGAAGUUGAGCAAAGUCGAGCCUAGUUGGUAUUUAGAUGGGUGACCGUUUAGAAAAUCUAGGUGCUGUAAGCA
rnacentral:rRNA from 1 species